rnacentral:rRNA from 1 species
AUGGGCUCGAGCCCCGCGGCCGUCGCGUCCCCGGAUCCGGGGGCGGACGCCGGCCCCAAGCAGGAUUCUGGUGCCGUGGGGCCGGCGGGAGACUCCGAUGUGACCAUGGCGGAGGCCUCCGAGGAGGUGGCUGCUGCCGCUGAGGUCAAGGAUGAGGGGGCUGCCCUGGCCCGGGAUGCUAUUCGAGGUGCGCCAGAUGCCGGCCGCGAAGAGGCAGAUGCGGCUGCGGCGGUUGAUCCGUUGUACGCCACGGAGGCAGCUGGCAUGGUUGUCACAGAAGGAUGUGUCGAUGGUGAUUCCAUCAACGGGCUUGGGCUUGGAAGCGGCAGCAGCGACAGCAAGGCUGGAGCUUUGACUGGCGAGCCUGAGUGGGAGCUGGUCACAGCAGAGGAUGUUGCUGGUGCUUCUGCUACAUCUGAGCAAGCCGAAGCCGAAUCUGGUGAACUCGGAGAAUAUCAUGUCAACGCAACCCCUGUGGCCGGAAAUGAAGGACAGGAUAAUGGUGUGGCACAUUUCGAGGAGGAGAUACAGAAUGGCUUGGCAAUUUCUGCUCAGUGCGCCAGAUACAGCAUUCCUCCUCUUGACAAAGAAGGCUUUCGAGUCUCUGAUCUUGUCUGGGGUAAAGUGAAAGGUCACCCUUGGUGGCCCGGUGAGAUCUUUGAUCCUUCGAAUGCAUCUGAGCUGGCAUUGAAGCACCAGAGAAAGGAUAGUCAUUUGGUUGCAUAUUUUGGUGACAACACUUUUGCUUGGUGCGACGAAUCCCAGUUGAAGCCUUUUGUAACAGACUAUUCACAGAUGGAGAAACAGAGUAGUUUGGAUUCCUUUGUCGGUUCUGUCAAUUAUGCACUUGAAGAACUUUCAAGGCGGAUUUUGUCAGGGAUGAGCUGUGCUUGUCUGCCAGAAGAACUCUCUGACAGUGGAAUGUCAUAUAUGGUUGAGAAUGCUGGGCUCAAGGAUGGAGUUACUUGCUCAACAGUCAACCGGUCUGAGAUCUUGGCAUCUUUUAGUCCAGAAAGCCUUCUUCGUUAUAUUAGGUCGCUAGCUCUGUUCCCUGGCCAAGGUGGUGAUCUCCUAGAGUUAGUGAUAGCCUGUUCUCAACUUACAUCUUUCUAUCGAUCUAAGGGAUGCCCUGAACUUGCAUCCUUCCAGACCGGUAGUGCAUGGGUCGAGGAUGAUACAGAUAUUUCUCCCAUCGAGGAUGUAGUGGUUGAGGAAGUUGUCGUCAGUGAAGUGCCUCCUCCAGAGGUCAAGCCCAAAAGAGGCAGGGGGAGACCUCGUAAACACAAGCCUGAGGAUAAACUGGAGUUGCCAGGGAAACAGAAGCCUGCAGUUGCAGCGGAAAGACAAAUGAUCAAGGACUUUGAUGAUAAGAAAAGAAGUCUUGACUCGUUUGAAGAUUUGGAUGCAAAGUCACCAACUGGUGGUUCUUUCAAGAUUGGAGAGUGCAUUCGGCGAGCUGCAAGCCAGCUGACCGGGCCUUCGCCCAUUGCAAAGUCCCAGAAUGAAAAUACCGCUGAAGCAGAGAAUGCAGAAUUUGAUGUCUCUAGUGAUGAUGCUGCGAAUGAACUUACUGUGGAGAAGUGCGCAAAGAGGAGACGCUUGCAUAGCCAUCACCUUGCGGACCCCAAGGAGUUAUUCUCUCAGCUUUGCUCGGUUGCCAUAGAGCCAACGGAUGGAUACAACUUCUCGGCACUGACAAUCAGUUACUUCAGUGAUUUCAGGAAUUAUGUUGUCUCUGUUGCUACUGAAGCAAGCAUUAUCGAAAAAAGUACAUCAAAGAGGAGGAGAAAGAAGAGGGUUUUGCCUUCUCCUGAGCUAGAGACUAUUGAUCAUAUGCAGGACUCCUACUGGUCUGGUUUGAGUUUGCUUAAUCACCCGAUUCAUAGCCUCAAAAGAGCUUCUACCAACACGAGGCCAAGGCGUAGGCGCAAGUCAUCACAUGAAACAGAUUUGUCCUCUGUACAGGAUCAGCAGAUGGCUCCUAAGAAAGAGAUACAAGUGGCUCCUAAGAAACAGAUACAAGUGGCUCCUAAGAAGCAGAUACAAGUGAUAGAAAGAUCAAUUAUCCAUGUUGACGAAAAGAUAGUCGACGAGUGGAAGCCCACUGCACUUGUUUUAAGCUUUGGCAGGUCAACUGAUCUUCUCUCAGGAAAUGAUCUGAUCAAGAAAUUCGGUCGCUAUGGCCCACUAAAAGAAUCUGAAAGUGAAGUGCAAAAGAGCACAAAUACUAUUAAAAUUGUGUUCAAGAAGCGUGCUGAUGCUGAAAAGGCUUUCAACGCUGCUGGGAAGUAUGGCACUGUUGGUCCCUCGCUUCGUAGUUUUCGUCUAGUGAAUAUGCCGUUUUCUCUAGGAGAGUCAGAACCGAAUAAAUCUGAGGCAUGCCCUGGAGAUCAUGGCCCAAAGCUUCCUGGUCCAAGUGAGCCCAAAGUUUCACUGGAUGCUGUGAAAGAUAACCAGGUCGACAAAACUGAGAAAGCUGAAGCUGUACAGCCAUCAUCAGGUGAACAAGUUGAGACUGUCAAGAAAGCAUGCCAAGCUGAACCUGUAAAGCAAUCAUCAGGUGCACAAGUUGAGACCGUCCAGCAAGCAUGCCAACCUGAAGCUGACGCUGUUAAGAAAGCAGGAAAAAUUGCUGCUGAGCUAACUGGGCCAUCUGACCAAAUUGCAACAGCUGAUGUAACUGAGCAAACAAUGGAAAAUCAAGCUCCAAAAGAUGCAGUUAAAAUUCCUUGUGAUGUGAAGCUGGAGGAUGAAGCAUUGACUGAAGAAUCUGUAGAUCAAGUUGUAACUGAGCAAGUCAAAGUUCCAUCAGAUGCUGUACCCGACACUUCAAAAGUUCAACCAGAAACACCAGUCGAACACGUGGGUACAGCAGCAGAAGGGGACACUGCUCAAGACCUAACUGAAGUGUCAGUCCAAGAAGCUGGGUUGAAAAAGCAAAUCGUGGAACCCAAAACUGCUGAAAUAGAACCGGAACAAGUCAGCUGUCCCGAGCAAACUGUUCAAGUGGAAGAUGUAAUCGAUGCAUCAGGUGGACACACCAAUGUGGACAGAAAAACUGCAGAAGAGAUAACUAUGACUGAAGUCGUGUUUGAGGGAGCUGUGGAGUCAGAAGCUGUAGCACCAGUUGAGGAAACUGUAGAAGAUAAAGCUACUGCAGGGACACUUGGGAAGGCACCAGGGGAUGAAAUGGAAAACAGGGAUGCUGCUGAAUCACCGGGUGGGGAGGUUGGUGUAGGUGAAGCCACAGGCGAUUCACCAGAUGAGAGAGUUGCUGUUGAAGCACUUGCUGGUAUGUCCACACAAGGUGAAACGACUGCCGAAGCAGCUGAUGCUGAAAUUACAACAACUGGAAAAACUGCAGAGGGUGUCGGUGUUAAAACACGAAGUAAGAAGGCUACAACAGCCAAGAAACCUGUAGAGAGUGCCACGGCUGAAGCACCAGGUAAGAAGGCUACAACAGCCAAGAAACCAGUGGAGGAUGCCAUGGUCGAAGCGCGGGAUGAGAAAGCUGCGACAGCCAAGAAAAACGCAGAGGGUGCCACGGUCGAAGCGCCAGAUGAGAAAGCUAUGACAGCCGAGGAGGACGCCAUGGCAUAG